GAAAAAUGUUCGUGUGUCGAAGGAAAUUUUCCUUGACAUUCUGGCGGAGAUCGAGCCCAAGUUCCCACCGGUUAAGGGAAAAGGGCUUAAGCCAAAUGAAAUUUUGGCUGCUGCUCUGCGAUUUCUAGCUGAAGGCAGCUACCAAAAUGGAACAGGAAAUGAUUAUAAAAUAGCUAUUGUCCAGCCUACUUUCUCGGUAGCCUUUGCAAAGUGCUUGAACAUAAUCCAAGAAACUCUUGGGAACAAAUGGAUCUCUUUAGCGAUGGAACCAAAUGACCAACAAGAUGCAAGACGAUAUUUCUUCUCAAAAAGUGGCAUUCCUGGUGUAGUGAUGUAAGUUGAUGGAACACACAUAAAAAUUAUUGCACCAGUGGACGAUUACGAUCAGCAUUAUAACCGUAAAAGGUUAUUACAGCCUAAACGCGAUGAUUAUUUGCGACCAUUUCAUGAAAAUUCGGUAUGUGAAUGCCAAAUUCGGAGGAGCCAAUCACGCAUAUUUGGAAUGUAAGUGGAAUGGACAACUUUUUCGAAACAAAACAUCGACGCGGAGAAACUGCAUUCAAGAUACUAGGUGAUGCUGGAUACCCGUCAAAUCCGUGGUUGAUAACACCAAAACGUAAUCCUGCUCUCAACACACCAGAAGCUGCCUUUAAUAAAAACCAUUCUUUAGGUAGAGAAAUAGUAGAGCGCACGAUCGGGUUGCUCAAAAAUAGAUUUAGGUGUAAUGCAUUAAAUUUUCGGAAGAACGGAAGAUCGGAAGACGCUUGCAGUUCGCUUGUUCAAACUCGAAUGCCCAUUUUAUUUUUCUGCUUCUGUCACUUUCGGUUUUGACAUUAAUCGAGAUUCACAGAGACAUCAAGUGAGACGGAAUACCACGAUUGCUAUAAACAAGAUAUUACAUAGGUGUUUGUUAGGUGCUCGACAGUUGCACUACACCCCGUUAAAAGCAACUCAAAUAACGAACGUAUGUUGCAUCUUACACAACAUGUGUAUUGCGUAUGG